CUACGGGGGGCAGCAGUGGGGAAUAUUGGACAAUGGGGGCAACCCUGAUCCAGCAAUGCCGCGUGUGUGAAGAAGGCCUGAGGGUUGUAAAGCACUUUCAGUGGGGAGGAGGAUUAGUAGGUUAAGAGCUGAUUAAUUGGACGUUACCCACAGAAGAAGCACCGGCUAACUCCGUGCCAGCAGCCGCGGUAAUACGGAGGGUGCAAGCGUUAAUCGGAAUUACUGGGCGUAAAGGGUGCGUAGGUGGUUAAUUAAGUUAGAUGUAAAAACCCUGGGCUUAACCUGGGACUGAGAUUUAAUACUGGUUAACUUGAGUAUGGGAGAGGGUAGUGGAAUUUCCGGUGUAGCGGUGAAAUGCGUAGAGAUCGGAAGGAACACCAGUGGCGAAGGCGGCUACCUGGCCUAAUACUGACACUGAGGCACGAAAGCGUGGGGAGCAAACAGGAUUAGAUACCCGUGUAGUC
rnacentral:rRNA from 1 species